AGUGAACGCUGGCGGUAGGCCUAACACAUGCAAGUCGAACGGCAGCACAGUAAGAGCUUGCUCUUACGGGUGGCGAGUGGCGGACGGGUGAGGAAUACAUCGGAAUCUACUUUUUCGUGGGGGAUAACGUAGGGAAACUUACGCUAAUACCGCAUACGACCUACGGGUGAAAGCAGGGGAUCUUCGGACCUUGCGCGAUUGAAUGAGCCGAUGUCGGAUUAGCUAGUUGGCGGGGUAAAGGCCCACCAAGGCGACGAUCCGUAGCUGGUCUGAGAGGAUGGUCAGCCACACUGGAACUGAGACACGGUCCAGACUCCUAAGGGAGGCAGCAGUGGGGAAUAUUGGGCAAUGGGCGCAAGCCUGAUCCAGCCAUACCGCGUGGGUGAAGAAGGCCUUCGGGUUGUAAAGCCCUUUUGUUGGGAAAGAAAAGCAGCAGGUUAAUACCCCGCGGUUCUGACGGUACCCAAAGAAUAAGCACCGGCUAACUUCGUG
rnacentral:rRNA from 1 species